UAACUCGAUCGAGUCUAGGAGUCAACAAAGUUUCUAAGUUGACUAAUUGAAGGUUAUCUAGUCUCCGUAAGUAGCAGUUUGUGUACUGCUUUCGAAUUUCGAAAAAAUAAAGAAAAUCUCAAAAAAUGGAAGCAGACAAGAAAAGACCCAGUCUCGGAGAUAAAAAAAAUGAAAUAAAAAGUACAAAAAGAAGAACGAAAAAAUCUCGAGUUACUAGAAUAAACG
rnacentral:lncRNA from 1 species